rnacentral:rRNA from 1 species
CCUACGGGGGGCUGUAGUCGAGGAUCAUUCGCAAUGGGGGAAACCCUGACGAUGCGACGCUGCGUGGAGGAUGAAGGCCUUCGGGUUGUAAACUCCUGUCAUGAGGGAAGAGGAGAGUGUCAUCAAUACUGACGCGAUUUGACGGUACCUCAAGAGGAAGCCACGGCUAACUCUGUGCCAGCAGCCGCGGUAAUACAGAGGUGGCGAGCGUUGUUCGGAUUUACUGGGCGUAAAGGGCGCGUAGGCGGCGAUGUGUGUCGGGUGUGAAAUCCCAGGGCCCAACCCGGGAAGUGCGCCCGAAACUGCAUCGCUAGAGUGCGGGAGUGGAGAUCGGAAUACAUUGUGUAGCGGUGAAAUGCGUUGAUAUCAUGUAGAACACCGGUGGCGAAGGCGGAUCUCUGGAACGCAACUGACGCUGAGGCGCGAAAGUCGGGGGAGCAAACA